AGGAAAUAGAUACCCCGGGUAGUCCACGCCGUAAACGUUGUGCGCUAGGUGUAGGAGGUAUCGACCCCUCCUGUGCCGGAGCUAAACGCAUUAAGCGCACCGCCUGGGGAGUACGCCCGCAAGGGUGAAACUACAAGGGAAGUUGACGGGGGCCCGGCACAAGCGGUGGAGCAUGUGGUUUAAUUCGAGGCAACGCGAAGAACCUUACCCACGGCUUGACAUCCCGCGCUACCCUGUGAAAGCAGGGGUUCUCCUUCGGGGUACGCGGAGACAGGUGUUGCAUGGCUGUCGUCAGCUCGUGUCGUGAGAUGUUGGGUUAAGUCCCGCAACGAGCGCAA
rnacentral:rRNA from 1 species